rnacentral:rRNA from 1 species
GACGAACGCUGGCGGCGUGCUUAACACAUGCAAGUCGAACGGAAAGGCCCUGCUUUUGUGGGGUGCUCGAGUGGCGAACGGGUGAGUAACACGUGAGUAACCUGCCCUUGACUUUGGGAUAACUUCAGGAAACUGGGGCUAAUACCGUAUAGGAGCUCCUGCUGCAUGGUGGGGGUUGGAAAGUUUCGGCGGUUGGGGAUGGACUCGCGGCUUAUCAGCUUGUUGGUGGGGUAGUGGCUUACCAAGGCUUUGACGGGUAGCCGGCCUGAGAGGGUGACCGGCGACAUUGGGACUGCGAUACGGACCAGACUCCUACGGGAGGCAGCAGUGGGGAAUAUUGCACAAUGGGCGGGAGCCUGAUGCAGCAACGCCGCGUGCGGGAUGACGGCCUUCGGGUUGUAAACCGCUUUCGCCUGUGACGAAGCGUGAGUGACGGUAAUGGGUAAAGAAGCACCGGCUAACUACGUG